CGUGCGUGCCUGAAGUCAGCAUGAUAUUUUGUUUUGUUUUCUUCUUGGAUAUUUAUUUUGUUUUAUAUUUAUUAGGAACCUAGAGUCAAACAGGUCAAAUUCACAUUUGUGGAAGACGCCGAGAAAUCUGAAGAAAAAGAAGAGAGUUCUGACAGUGAAACUGAAAGUGAUGAUCUUGAAAAUUCCACACCUUCCAUACAAAACUCUCCUGUCUGCCAGGAGCUGGCAAGGGCAGAAGAGAUUGAAGCCGAUAUUGCAGUCCAGGAUGAUACAA